GUCAACAAAUUGACGGUAAUUAUGGACCAGAGAGUGAGCGACACAAGCUAGUCAUUAUCCCGGGAUCUUGCAAAUUGUUUCAUUGUUUUUGAAAUCCUGUUUUAACGCGCCUACCAUGUAAUUAUAAACCAGACGUAUAGACGAUGCCCGACAAUAUACGCGGCGUUGAAUGUCAGGCCUUGCUACUUAUGUAAGGAAUGUUCUGGAGACCCAUUAGACAACGCAUAUCUGGACACAAAAGUAACGCGAUCUACCAGUCCGUCGGAACCGCAUUUAUUAGAGAUAUAAUUACGUCCAAUAGCCAGACAUCGCUUAGCACGGAGUCGCCCUGUCGAUAUUAUGGUAGGUGUGAUAAAGAAAAUGAUACAAGAAUAAAAAGGCCUAUUGGUGAAUGUCGUCAGCCAACUAAAGACGUGAGAUCGGAGAUAAAAUUGUAAUGAGUGAAGCUCUGACUGCACCGCCCUGGGAUGUAGUACCAGAUGGACCGAUAUCUAGUAGUUUCAUCCAAGCAAAUGUAAAUCGAACAAAUACUGUAAAUCAUUUUGAAGUCGUCGUGGCCUAAAGGAUAAAACGUCCGGUGCAUUCGUAUGUAGCGAUGCACCGGUGUUCGAAUCCCGCUGGCGGGUAACAAUUUUUCUAAUGAGAUACAACUGUUCACGAUUGACUUCCACGAUGAAGGAAUAACAUCGUGUAAUAAAAAUCAAACCCGCAAAAUUAUAAUUUUCGUAAUCACUGGCGGUAGGACCUCUUGGGAGUCCGCACGGGUAGGUACCACCACUCCGCCUAUUUCUGCCGUGAAGCAGUGAUGCAUUUCGGUUCGAAGGGUGGGGUAGCCGUUGUAACUAUGCUGAGACCUCAGAACUUAUAUCUCAAGGUGGGUGGCGCGUUUACGUUGUAGAUGUCUAUGGGCUCCAGUAACCAUUUAACAUCAGGUGGCCUGUGAGCUCGUCCAUACAUCUAAGCAUUAAAAAAUAAAAAUACUGACGAGUGGAGCUAGUUAGUACUAGAAUCAGAUGGAGUAAUCCUUACACUUCCGUUUUCAUCGGCUGUGAUAUCGCUUUGAAUUUGUUUCCAAAGAAACAAAAAAAAAGACUUUUUACGAUCAAAAUCAGAAUGCAUAUAAAGCACAGGUAUUAACCGAUUUUUUCGGUUGUUGUUUGUAAAAAGCCGAAAUAAUGAGAUAAAUCAAUCAUGUCCAGGCGUCACUGAUAAAAUAUGUUUCAUGGUUCAUCGCUGUGUCUACAGUCACAUGCCGUGACGUUUGAAGUACAAAUAUUGAAAUAAAAUUCAUUGUAUCAAUUAAACUAGGUUAAGGCUUCAGAAGAAUGUUCUGAAUGUAAUUAACAAUUAUCUACCGCUGUUUACGUUCAAAAUUUCGGGGAAAAAUUACACGCGUUAAUUCCAGGAGACGUGUGAUUCACCGAACAAAUAAAUAAUUUUAAUCUA